UACGAAGGGGGCUAGCGUUGCUCGGAAUCACUGGGCGUAAAGCGCACGUAGGCGGAUUGCUAAGUCAGGGGUGAAAUCCUGGAGCUCAACUCCAGAACUGCCUUUGAUACUGGCAAUCUCAAGUCCGGGAGAGGUGAGUGGAACUGCGAGUGUAGAGGUGAAAUUCGUAGAUAUUCGCAAGAACACCAGUGGCGAAGGCGGCUCACUGGCCCGGUACUGACGCUGAGGUGCGAAAGCGUGGGGAGCAAACAGG
rnacentral:rRNA from 1 species